rnacentral:rRNA from 1 species
UACAGAGGGUGCGAGCGUUAAUCGGAAUGACUGGGCGUAAAGGGUGUGUAGGUGGUUUAAUAAGUUAGGUGUGAAAGUCCUGGGCUUAACCUGGGGAGGUCGCUUAAGACUGUUAAGCUAGAGUACUGUAGAGGAAGGUGGAAUUUCCGGUGUAGCAGUGAAAUGCGUAGAUAUCGGGAGGAACACCUAUGGCGAAAGCAGGCUUCUGGGCCAUCACUGACGCUGAUCUGCGAAAGCUAGGGGAGCAAACAGG